rnacentral:rRNA from 1 species
CUCUUUUUGUUUAGAAUAAUAAGUAUAACCUGCCCAAUGAUUGAUUAAAUGGCCGCGGUAUUUUGACCGUGCAAAGGUAGCAUAAUCAUUAGUCUUUUAAUUGAAGGCUGGAAUGAAUGGUUGGACGAGACAAAUUCUUUCUUAUAAUUAUUAAUUAUAAUUUAAUUUUUAAGUUAAAAGGCUUAAAUUUCAUUAUGGGACGAGAAGACCCUAUAGAGUUUAAUAAAUUACAUGAAUAAAUUUGUUAGUAUAAACUUACUUUAUAUAAUUUAUUUAGUUGGGGUGACAUAAAGAUAAGCAUAACUCUUUAAUAAUAUAAACAUUAAUUAAUGAUUUAUUGAUCCAUGAAUAUUGAUUAAAAGACUAAAUUACC